UAAUACGGAGGGUGCGAGCGUUGUCCGGAAUCACUGGGCGUAAAGGGCGCGUAGGUGGCCGUGGCAAGCGUGCGGUGAAAGCCCGGGGCUCAACCCCGGGUCGGCCGUGCGGACUGCCGGGCUGGGGCCCACUAGGGGCAGGCGGAAUUCCGGGUGUAGCGGUGGAAUGCGUAGAGAUCCGGAAGAACACCGGUGGCGAAGGCGGCCUGCUGGGGUGGAGCCGACACUGAGGCGCGACAGCGUGGGGAGCAAACAGGAUUAGAUACCCUGGUAGUCCACGCCGUAAACGAUGGGCACUAGGUGCUCGGGGGAGCGACCCUCCGAGUGCCGGCGCUAACGCAUUAAGUGCCCCGCCUGGGGAGUACGGCCGCAAGGCUG
rnacentral:rRNA from 1 species